CAAAAUAGCCUUAAUCAUGCCUUGCAUGUGUCUAAAAGAGGUGUCGUGGCGUCACAUGUGUCUUGAGUGACUGACUCUAUUUGAUCAUAUUUUUCCCAUUUAGGUAUGGAGCAAUUUGCUAGAGUCUGAGCAUGACAACCCAGGACCACUGCAUCUUGGAGCUGCUUAUAGAUACUUUUAUGCUUUGGGUCUGUCAGUCAUGUUGUCUUUUAAUUAUUAGUCUUGUACAAUAGUAUCGAGUCUGUCAGUCUAGUUAAGAUUUUUGAGUCUUUUGUUAU
rnacentral:lncRNA from 1 species